rnacentral:rRNA from 1 species
GAUGAACGCUAGCUACAGGCUUAACACAUGCAAGUCGAGGGGUAACGAGAGGAAAGCUUGCUUUCCUUGUCGACGACCGGCGCACGGGUGAGUAACGCGUAUCCAACCUGCCCCCAACUAGGGAAUAACCUUGCGAAAGUAAGACUAAUACCCUAUAAUUUCCUCAGAUGUCAUCUGACGAGGAAUAAAGAUUUAUCGGUUGUGGAUGGGGAUGCGUCUGAUUAGCUUGUUGGCGGGGUAACGGCCCACCAAGGCAACGAUCAGUAGGGGUUCUGAGAGGAAGGUCCCCCCCAUUGGAACUGAGACACGGUCCAAACUCCUACGGGGGGCAGCAGUGAGGAAUAUUGGUCAAUGGGCGGAAGCCUGAACCAGCCAAGUAGCGUGCAAGAUGACGGCCCUAUGGGUUGUAAACUGCUUUUAUACAGGAAUAAAGUUAGCCACGUGUGGUUAUUUGUAGGUACUGUAUGAAUAAGGACCGGCUAAUUCCGUGCCAGCCGCCGCAGUAA